rnacentral:rRNA from 1 species
GACGAACGCUGGCGGCGUGCUUAACACAUGCAAGUCGAACGGAAAGGCCUGCUUUCCCUUGUGGAUUGCGGGUACUCGAGUGGCGAACGGGUGAGUAACACGUGAGUGAUCUGCCCCCAACUUGGGUAUAAGCCUGGGAAACUGGGUCUAAUUCCCGAUAGGACUGCAGGGUGGUGCCUGUGGUGGAAAACGAUUUUCUAGUGGUUGGGGAUGAGCUCGCGGCCUAUCAGCUUGUUGGUGGGGUAAUGGCCUACCAAGGCGGCGACGGGUAGCCGGCCUGAGAGGGUGGACGGCCACAUUGGGACUGAGAUACGGCCCAGACUCCUACGGGAGGCAGCAGGGGGGAAUAUUGCACAAUGGGCGGAAGCCUGAUGCAGCGACGCCGCGUGGGGGAUGACGGCCUUCGGGUUGUAAACUCCUUUCGACCGCGAGGAAGCCACCUGGUUGGAAGGGUGGUGACGGUAGUGGUAGAAGAGGCACCGGCUAACUACGUG